rnacentral:lncRNA from 1 species
GGGAUUUGAGCAGAGGGUGGCACAUCUGACAAGUUUUAACGAGAUCACCCCCUGCCUAGAGCGUGGGUGGAGGGUGGGGGGCGGUCCUUGGCCGAAAUCCAGGGGCAAGGAUCAGGGUUCUGUCAGAGAAACAGGAGCGCUCUCCAGGGUACAGAAUAAGGGAGCUAGAGCCGGAUGUAACGGCACAUGUCUGUGAUCUCAGUACUUGGGAAGUUGAGGCAGGAGGAUUGAGAAUUUGAGACCAUCCCAGACUGCAGGAGAAGGGCUUGAAUUCCGGAAGUACCUCGAACACCCUUCACUCUCUGAUCCUCUCUUAUCCCUGAAUUUGGAUGGUGAGAGCGUAGCCUGCCAGCCUGGCCCUGGGGCAUCCGCUGCAGCUCCUGCACCAUCUCAUCCCCUGCCAGCAAGGAGGCUGGGCUGGAUGGCAGUGAAGAGGACUGCAGCCCACCUGCCGACCCUGUGCUGCUGCUUCCCCGAAGAAACCGACCUGAAUAAAACUCAAGGAAGCAGGGGUCCAAUGGUGCGCCCAGUGUGUUACCUGUGUCUCAAUGCUGUCAUUUCAAUUGUCAAGUCGUAACUGUAGGGAGGACAGAAAGAGAGAGAGAGAGAGGGCACGGGGAUUGCUGAUCAAAGAGAACAGUUUCAGAUGGAGAUCUGCAGAGGAGGGUGGCCAUGACCAUCGUCAAGAAUAAUGUCUGGUGUGUUUCAAAGUAAGCGUCCGUUUCACAUGUCUCCUUGGGUUUUGUUUUGUUUUUUGAGUCAGGGUUUCACCAUGUAGUUCAGGCUGUUCUUGAACUCAUCAUGUAGCCCAGGCUGGCCUGGAACUCCUGGCAAACUUCUACAUCAGACUCCCAAGUUCUGGGAUUACAGGCAUGCACCACCAUGCCCGCAGUUUCCUUACAUUUUAAGUGGAGAUGCAUG